AGCGAACGCUGGCGGCAGGCUUAACACAUGCCAGUCGAGCGGGCGUAGCAAUACGUCAGCGGCAGACGGGUGAGUAACACGUGGGAACGUACCUUUUGGUUCGGAACAACACAGGGAAACUUGUGCUAAUACCGAAUAAGCCCUUACGGGGAAAGAUUUAUCGCCGAAAGAUCGGCCCGCGUCUGAUUAGCUUGUUGGUGAGGUAACGGCUCACCAAGGCGACGAUCAGUAGCNGGUCUGAGAGGAUGAUCAGCCACACUGGGACUGAGACACGGCCCAGACUCCUACGGGAGGCAGCAGUGGGGAAUAUUGGACAAUGGGGGCAACCCUGAUCCAGCCAUGCCGCGUGAGUGAUGAAGGCCCUAGGGUUGUAAAGCUCUUUUGUGCGGGAAGAUAAUGACGGUACUGCAAGAAUAAGCCCCGGCUAACUUCGUGCCAGCCGCCGC
rnacentral:rRNA from 1 species